UAUCUGACAAGUAGCCAUGUGG
rnacentral:miRNA from 1 species